rnacentral:rRNA from 1 species
CCUACGGGAGGCAGCAGUGGGGAAUAUUGCACAAUGGAGGAAACUCUGAUGCAGCGACGCCGCGUGAGCGAGGAAGUAUUUCGGUAUGUAAAGCUCUAUCAGCAGGGACGAGAAGAGAAGGUACCUGAUUAAGUAGCCCCCGCCAACUACGUGCCAGCAGCCGCGGUAAUACGGAGGGGGCCAGCGUUAUCCGGAUUUACUGGGUGUAAAGGGGGCGCAGACGGCAAGGCAAGACAGAAGUGAAAAGGCAGGGCUCAACCCGGUACAUGCAUUUGGAACUGUGGUGCUAGAGUGCAGGAGAGGUAAGUGGAAUUCCUAGUGUAGCGGUGAAAUGCGUAGAUAUUAGGAGGAACACCAGUGGCGAAGGCGGCUUACUGGACUGUAACUGACGGUGAGGCUCGAAAGCGUGGGGAGCAAACAGGAUUAGAUACCCGAGUAGUC